CAUGGAAAUGUAAUCAUUCUUUGGAAACUCUGGACCCUGGCCUGGCCUCUGGACAGCAGGGUUGGCCAAUUUGAAGAAAGAAAGGAUGGUUGAUUGGCUCACAACUGUGAAACUUUCUCAGAACCUCCUCCACCUCACGUCCCUGGAAAGAUCCCCUGAGGCCACUCACGAGGAAAAGUAAAGAAUUUGCAAAUCCAGAAAGAGGAAUUUUAUCCUCAGAGGCUGAGGCCACAGCUCCUUUCCAGGGUUAAAUCAAAAUUCUUCUGUUGAGCCUUCUAAGGUCAGCUUUGGGUGAUCCAAGCACAAGUCAGAGCCUGCACCAGGGAGUUCAGGUCCAUCCAAAUAUGAAAAGGCUUCAUGGAAACAAAGUUCCCAUCCGGUCACCUGAGUUCUGCAUGACCUUCUCACAGGUAACCUCGAGAUGUGCUCCCUCUUCUCUGACAGGGACAGUUAAGUUACAAGAGUCUGACCAUGAUGGGACUAUGGCAUGUGUCACCACGCCCAGUUCUAGUGCAGGCCUUUGAGUAAUUCCCAGCAUAUUCAGAGGCAGAGAAAAAUCAAGAUUAGAAGUCUCACCCACAGGAAAACCUCUGCCACAAGCUGGGUGUGUAAAGAUAUCUUUGCUACUGUCAUUAAGCACAAGCACAGACUCUGUGUCUUUGGGGACUGUUCCCAGAGCCUCAUGAGGAAGAAAUGCUAGCCUACACUCUGAAGACGGCUGUGCUAGGGCUUGCUCCCCACACUAGAUCGGAUGUGUCUUAGCUGCAAAGGAAGCUGGAGUCGGGAGAGCAUCCAGUUUUCAUUUAUGAAGGGUUUCUCUGUGUGGACCUGACCGUCCUGAAACUCACUCUGUAGACCAGGUUGAUCUUGCACUCGGGGAUCUGCCUGACUCUGCCUCCCAAAUGCUGGAACUAAAGGCCAACAUGACUUGGUGGCCAUGAACUGUAGCAAAUAUAGCCAGUGGUCUGCACUUGACUGCAGAGGUUGGUCCGGAGUAUCUCUUUAGAGCUGUGGUCAUUGCUCCAAGGAAGCGCUUCCUCUGUUACUGGAGAAGAGCAAAAUAACAGCACAGACUGGAAAGGGAUACGCCAUCAAGAUCAAAAGAGGGACCUGCAAGGCAGAGGACUCGAGGUGCCAAUUGUCGUUUGUGCCUGCUUGCAUACAAGGUUCAGAAGAAGUGGCUAAGUAUCGGGGCAGAGUCUGGCAAGUUCUCCACUUCGAUAGGUGAGAGAUGUUUCUCCUGGCAAUGAAGAGAUAAAUUCAAAGUCCCAUUAUGGUACAGGAUGCCAGAAAUAAAGAAGAGUUGAGCGUAGACAAGGCUUAGUCUUAGACAAAAUAUUUAUACAUCGUGUUAAGGCUCAAGAAACAUUGAGGAAGAAGUUAUGGAAAGAAUGUAAGAGCCGCAGGGGAGGGAGGUUGUAAAAUGCCAUCUUCUGGGCAAGACAAGGCCGUGCCAACUACGAAUUUACAGCAGGGUGAAUCCUAAAACUGGGUUCAUAGAAGUUGGGACCUCCUAACAGUAACUACUAGAGAGGCGGGACCUCUAGGGCCUGUCAUUCACUUCUGAGUUAUUGGCAACAGCAGAUUCUGGGAGUGGGGAGGCAUAGUAUUCCAGGUGAGUGAGCCACCAGGCUGUCAUGGUUCCAAACUCAGGCUCAAACAGGCAGCCCCGGUCAAAUAUUAUGGGAAAGAGAUUUGUAAAGACUAAGUUCUUGUCGUGGUGGGAGGAGCUAGGAAAGGAUAAAGGGGGAGUACCCAGAAACCACAGUCCACAAUUGUAAGAAAACAAACUUAACAAAGUUACUAACAAAAGCAAGAGAAAAACAAACAAACAAACAAAUUGGAUGACACCUUCUCACAGAGGUGAAGACAGCUCUGUACUCACAUAUUCAUCUCUUCAGGGAGCACAUUUAGAAAUGCUGGAAAAUAUUUGCUGGUUACCUAAGCAUCCUUUAACCCACCCAAGUUAGCACGCAGAGUUAACAGCACAAUUUACUUCAAACUACAGUGGCUUGAAAUACCCUUUCUUAUCUCAUACUGCUCAUGGGUCGGGAUCCAGUAGAGCCCAGCCGGAGUCUCCUUUUGGCCCCAUGAGGGCAUCGGCUGGCAUGGCGGUCUCACUUUAAAGCUCUCAGGAGAAUGAGGCCCUUCCAGACUCACAUGUAGUUGUUCAAGGGAUUUAGUUCCUCGUACAGCCUUGGUGGAAGGCUGCCCUCAGCUCCUUGCCACAGGAGCCUCUCCCCACAAGGCAUCCAUCUUCCUUCAUCCGUGUGUAAUGAAUAAGACAAUAAUAAAGUAGUGUACAAGUCACGCUCUUGUAUUGCCUAACCUCGGAGGUUGUACUCCAGAACUUCACCUGUUCUGUUUGACAGAGACUAAUGAUGAAGUCCAGCCUACAAUCAAGAGAGGCUGUCAGGUGGGGCGGGACUGUGGGAGCUGUGUCAGAGCUUCGAAUACUGUGGAUAGGACAGAUCGGCUUCUCCUGAGAUAUGACAUCAAGGAAAGACCAGAGGAAGGAUCCCACUCCAGUCAGCUUGAUGGACAAAUGGAUUUAUUGUAAAUAUUUAUAGGAAUGUGGUGGCCACACAGAAGGAUUCGGGUGACCCCAAGACUGUCUCUGCAUUGUGGGAAAUUUCCACCCUCAUGUGCGUGAACACUUUGCCGCAGACCCCUUCCUUCAGUUAACAGUCUGUCUUCUAUGUGUUCUGGCAGCCAUGGAAGAUGAGAGGAGAGGGGAGGAAGAGGAGGGGAGGGGGAAUAGGAGGAGGAGGAGAAGGACAAGGAGAAGAAGAAGAAGGAGAAGGAGAAAAUGAGAAGGAGAAGGAGAAGGAGAAGGAGAAGGAGAAGAAGAAGAAGAAGAAGAAGAAGAAGAAGAAGAAGAAGAAGAAGAAGAAGAAGAAGAAGAAGAAGAAGAAGGAAGGAAGGAAAGAAAGAAAGAAAGAAAGAAAGAAAGAAAGAAAGAAAGAAAGAAAGAAAGAGAGAGAGAGAGAGAGAAAGAAAGAAGCAAGACCCUACAUUCUCUCUUUACUGAACAGAGGAACAAAGCUUGGUGGCAGAUGUGUUUUGUCCAUGACCCUUUUCUUGUGUGACAGACACCAUCUUGACAGCCUUGCCCACGUGUGACCAGUGCAGCCUGGGACCCCAUGGUUAGAGCGGCCUUGAGACUUGCUUAAUGAGCGGCUGCCAUCACCUGAGAAGUCUUCAUAAAUUUUAAACGGAUGGUGUCCACUUGGCCUGGAAUGGCUUGGACAGAAGGGCUGAGAAGAGCUGCCCCCUAUCAGUUCGUGGCGUUUCUUCAGGAGACCCUGGUGCUGCGCCUGCCUGCUUCCAGUAGAGCAAGGAGGAUCCACUCCCCUGUCCUAGCAAGAGAGUAGUUCUGGUGGCACAAGACAAGUGUGGUUUUCCUUUGGACUGUGAAAUGGGAGAUAAUUCUGCCAGCGGUUUACUUACAACUACUUAAAUAUCGGACCCACAAUUUUUAGUAUAAGUAGGAUUUGGCAUAUUCUUUCCAAAUAUGUCAGUGAUCUUUUCCAAAUCACUAACAAGAUGUCUCAGUACCAUUUACGGAGUAAUAGAUCCAUUCUUUGUUACUUUGAAUUUCUGCCAUGAGGCUCCUUAUAUUGUUGUCUAAAAUUGGAGUAUAUUGUGUUUCAUCGCUCUUUAUGUGCCUGAGUAUUUUUUUUUAAGUACAGCUCGUUGUAUUUCUCCUCUGAAUUGUCAACUUGAUUUUCUGCAGUGAGGAUGCUUGGGACGGUGUCUGGGGACGCGUGUAUCCUGGGCACCACUAAGCUAUGUCCUGCACUGGCACCUUACACCAUUUCAUUUCCAUAGUCCCUGCUCUGCCUUAUCUUUAUGUCUUUGAAAUUCGUGCAACUUUUGGUCCACAUGAAGCGUAUAUGAUAGAGUGAGGAUUACUAUUCUCUCAAGUUUUA
rnacentral:lncRNA from 1 species